UACGGGGGGGGCAAGCGUUGUUCGGAAUUACUGGGCGUAAAGGGCUCGUAGGUGGCCAACUAAGUCAUACGUGAAAUCCCUCGGCUUAACCGGGGAACUGCGUCUGAUACUGGAUGGCUUGAGUUUGGGAGAGGGAUGCGGAAUUCCAGGUGUAGCGGUGAAAUGCGUAGAUAUCUGGAGGAACACCGGUGGCGAAGGCGGCAUCCUGGACCAAUACUGACACUGAGGAGCAAAAGCCAGGGGAGCAAACGGG
rnacentral:rRNA from 1 species